rnacentral:pre_miRNA from 7 species
UCUUUGGAGAUGUGGGUGGUCGCGCCAAUCCUGGAUGAGUCCCCAAUGAAAGACUCCCAAAGGGAGACCCCCCACUCAAGUCUCAGGUUAAUAAUGGACCCCCAAGAAUUCAUGAGAGACC